rnacentral:rRNA from 1 species
GACGUAGGGCGCGAGCGUUGUCCGGAUUAUUGGCGUAAAGAGCUCGUAGGCGGCUCGAUAAGUCUGCUGUGAAAGUCCAGGGCUCAACCCUGGAAGGCCGGUGGAAACUGUCGGGCUAGAGUCCGGAAGAGGCGAGUGGAAUUCCCGGUGUAGCGGUGAAAUGCGCAGAUAUCGGGAGGAACACCAAUGGCGAAGGCAGCUCGCUGGGACGGUACUGACGCUGAGACGCGAAAGCGUGGGAGCAAACAGG